rnacentral:rRNA from 1 species
GAUGAACGCUGGCGGCGUGCCUAAUACAUGCAAGUCGAACGAAGCCUUCGGGCUUAGUGGCGAACGGGUGAGUAACACGUUGGUACCUACCCUCUAGUGGGGAAUAACUGGCCGAAAGGUCGGCUAAUACCGCAUAAUACCGCAAGGUUAAAGCAGCAAUGCGCUAGAGGAGGGGCCUGCGUCCCAUUAGCUUGUUGGUAGUGUAAUGGACUACCAAGGCGACGAUGGGUAGCUGGAUCGAGAGGUUGACCAGCCACACUGGGACUGAGAUACGGCCCAGACUCCUACGGGAGGCAGCAGUAAGGAAUCUUCCACAAUGGACGAAAGUCUGAUGGAGCGACGCCGCGUGCAGGAUGACGGCCUUCGGGUUGUAAACUGCUUUUAUAUGGGAAGAUUAUGACGGUACCAUAUGAAUAAGGACCGGCUAACUACAUGCCAGCCGCCGCUGUAA